CACUCUGUUUUUACUUGAACUAAGUAUUUACUGAGGUACCUUUUACUUGAACUAAAUAUUUAUUGGGAUGUCUGAUACAGUUUAUUAGGAGGCUAAAGCCACCAUCAGCACCUCUAAGCGACCAUCUGGCAAUGCACUAGGAUCGGGCUAAUCCAAACUUUGAGGUCCAUGACAUAUGAAUGAGUAAAAGCAGCAGGCUGCAGAGCAACACACAUGAUUUCAUCUCACUUAAAAAAAGAGAAAAGAAAGAAGAAAAAAUGAAAGAAAAAAAUGCGUAUGUAUAUGUGAAGAAAAUCUAGAAGUAUAUUUCUAUUAAAGGAUGUUAACUCUAUCUAAAACAUUGCAGUAUUAUCUGGGACUACACAAUCUCCUUAAUUGUCUUAUUAAGUUACCUAA
rnacentral:lncRNA from 1 species